rnacentral:rRNA from 1 species
AGAGUUUGAUCCUGGCUCAGGACGAACGCUGGCGGCGUGCUUAACACAUGCAAGUCGAACGAAAAUACCAAGCUUGCUUGGUUGAUUAGUGGCGAACGGGUGAGUAACACGUGAGUAACCUGCCCCUUACUUUCCUGGAUAACUGCUCGAAAGGGUAGCUAAUACGGGAUAUUCUGACCAUCCUGCAUGGGUUGGUUUGGAAAGGUUGUUUUUCUGGUAAGGGAUGGGCUCGCGGCCUAUCAGCUUGUUGGUGGGGUGAUGGCCUACCAAGGCUUUGACGGGUAGCCGGCCUGAGAGGGUGGACGGUCACACUGGGACUGAGAUACGGCCCAGACUCCUACGGGAGGCAGCAGUGGGGAAUAUUGCACAAUGGGCGCAAGCCUGAUGCAGCGACGCCGCGUGAGGGAUGAAGGCCUUCGGGUUGUAAACCUCUUUCGUCAGGGAACAAGGCACUACGUUUUGGUGGUGUUGAGGGUACCUGGAUAAGAAGCGCCGGCUAACUACGUGCCAGCAGCCGCGGUAAUACGUAGGGCGCAAGCGUUGUCCGGAAUUAUUGGGCGUAAAGAGCUCGUAGGCGGCUGGUCGCGUCUGUCGUGAAAACUUCCGGCUCAACCGGGGGCUUGCGGUGGGUACGGGCCGGCUAGAGUGCGGUAGGGGUAACUGGAACUCCUGGUGUAGCGGUGGAAUGCGCAGAUAUCAGGAAGAACACCGAUGGCGAAGGCAGGUUACUGGGCCGUUACUGACGCUGAGGAGCGAAAGCGUGGGGAGCGAACAGGAUUAGAUACCCUGGUAGUCCACGCUGUAAACGUUGGGCACUAGGUGUGAGGCUCCUUUCCGGGGGUUUUGCGCCGUAGCUAACGCAUUAAGUGCCCCGCCUGGGGAGUACGGCCGCAAGGCUAAAACUCAAAGGAAUUGACGGGGGCCCGCACAAGCGGCGGAGCA